UAAAUCCAAUGUGGCAUCGCUAUACUUA
rnacentral:sRNA from 1 species